AGGGGCGUAGCUCAAUUGGUAGAGUAGCGGUCUCCAAAACCGUUGGUUGCAGGUUCGAGCCCUGCCGCCCCUG
rnacentral:tRNA from 1 species